rnacentral:misc_RNA from 1 species
GAUGAAGAACGCAGCGAGAUGCGAUAAGUAAUGUGAAUUGCAGAAUUCAGUGAAUCAUCGAAUCUUUGAACGCACAUUGCGCCCGCCAGUAUUCUGGCGGGCAUGCCUGUUCGAGCGUCAUUUCAACCAUCAAGCCCCAGGCUUGUGUUGGGGACCUGCGGCUGCCGCAGGCCCUGAAAACCAGUGGCGGGCUCGCUGUCACACCGGGCGUAGUAGAUUUUAUCUCGCUCAGGGCGUGCUGCGGGUUCCGGCCGUUAAAAAGCCUUUUUUACCCAAGGUUGACCUCGGAUCAGGUAGGAAGACCCGCUGAACUUAAGCAUAUCAAUAAGCGGAGGA